rnacentral:rRNA from 1 species
UACAGAGGGUGCAAGCGUUUAAUCGGAAUUACUGGGCGUAAAGCGUGCGUAGACGGUUAUGUAAGUCGGGUGUGAAAGCCCCGGGCUCAACCUGGGAAUUGCAUUCGAGACUGCAUAGCUAGGGUGCGGAAGAGGGAAGCGGAAUUUCCGGUGUAGCGGUGAAAUGCGUAGAUAUCGGAAGGAACACCAGUGGCGAAAGCGGCUUCCUGGUCCAGCACCGACGUCAGGCACGAAAGCGUGGGGAGCAAACAGG